rnacentral:rRNA from 1 species
GACGAACGCUGGCGGCGUGCUUAACACAUCUUAGUCGAACGGAAAGGCCCUGCUUUUGUGGGGUGCUCGAGUGGCGAACGGGUGAGUAACACGUGAGUAACCUGCCCUUGACUUUGGGAUAACUUCAGGAAACUGGGGCUAAUACCGGAUAGGAGCUCCUGCUGCAUGGUGGGGGUUGGAAAGUUUCGGCGGUUGGGGAUGGACUCGCGGCUUAUCAGCUUGUUGGUGGGGUAGUGGCUUACCAAGGCUUUGACGGGUAGCCGGCCUGAGAGGGUGACCGGCCACAUUGGGACUGAGAUACGGCCCAGACUCCUACGGGAGGCAGCAGUGGGGAAUAUUGCACAAUGGGCGGAAGCCUGAUGCAGCAACGCCGCGUGCGGGAUGACGGCCUUCGGGUUGUAAACCGCUUUCGCCUGUGACGAAGCGUGAGUGACGGUAAUGGGUAAAGAAGCACCGGCUAACUACGUGCCAGCAGCCGCGGUGAUACGUAGGGUGCGAGCGUUGUCCGGAUUUAUUGGGCGUAAAGGGCUCGUAGGUGGUUGAUCGCGUCGGAAGUGUAAUCUUGGGGCUUAACCCUGAGCGUGCUUUCGAUACGGGUUGACUUGAGGAAGGUAGGGGAGAAUGGAAUUCCUGGUGGAGCGGUGGAAUGCGCAGAUAUCAGGAGGAACACCAGUGGCGAAGGCGGUUCUCUGGGCCUUUCCUGACGCUGAGGAGCGAAAGCGUGGGGAGCGAACAGGCUUAGAUACCCUGGUAGUCCACGCUGUAAACGGUGGGUACUAGGUGUGGGGUCCAUUCCACGGGUUCCGUGCCGUAGCUAACGCUUUAAGUACCCCGCCUGGGGAGUACGGCCGCAAGGCUAAAACUCAAAGGAAUUGACGGGGCCCCGCACAAGCGGCGGAGCAUGCGGAUUAAUUCGAUGCAACGCGGAGAACCUUACCUGGGUUUGACAUGGAUCGGGAGUGCUCAGAGAUGGGUGUGCCUCUUUUGGGGUCGGUUCACAGGUGGUGCAUGCCUGUCGUCAGCUCGCGUCGAGAGAUGUUGGGUUAAGUCCCGCAACGAGCGCAACCCUUGUUCACUGUUGCCAGCACGUAAUGGAGGGGACUCAGUGGAGACCGCCGGGGACAACUCGGAGGAAGGUGGGGAUGACGUCAAGACCUCAUGCCCCUUAAGACCAGGGACUCACGCAUGCAACAAUGGGCAGGAACAGAGAGAGGCGAGCCCGCGAGGGCGAACAAAAACCCGGAAAGCCGGCCACAGAACGGAAUGGGGGCCGCAACGCCAACCACAGGAAGGCGGGAAGCGCAAGAAAACCGCAGAACAGCAACACGGCGGGGAAAACCGUCCCCGGGGC